UGAAUACGAGACGCUAAGGCGUCGAAGUAGUGUAUGUCAUACUUCCAAGAAAAGCUUGCACUGUCAUAGAUAAAAAACGCCUGUACCAUAACCGACACAGGUGGGUAGGUAGAGUAUACUAAGGGGCGCGAGAUAACUCUCUCUAAGGAACUCGGCAAAAUAACUCCGUAACUUCGGGAGAAGGAGUGCCUUAUUCGUAAGGUUGCAAUAACAAGAUCCAAGCAACUGUUUAUCAAAAACACAGGUCUCCGCUAAGUCGUAAGACGAUGUAUGGGGGCUGACGCCUGCCCAGUGCCAGAAGGUUAAAGAAGUUGGUUAGCAAUUGCGAAGCUGAUAACUGAAGCCCUGGUGAACGGCGGCCGUAACUAUAACGGUCCUAAGGUAGCGAAAUUCCUUGUCGGGUAAGCUCCGACCCGCACGAAAGGCGUAAUGAUUUGGAUACUGUCUCGGAGAGGGGCUCGGUGAAAUAGACUUGUCUGUGAAGAUGCGGACUACCUGCACCAGGACAGAAAGACCCUAUGAAGCUUUACUGUAACUUGAAAUUGAAAUUGGACUUUAUUCGCGCAGUAUAGGUGGGAGGCGUUGAUUAUAAUCUUGUGGGAUUAUUGGAGCCAUCAGUGAGAUACCACUCUUGUAAUGUUAGAUUUCUAACUUUGAAUCAUUAUCUGGUCAAAGAACAGUUUCAGGCGGGCAGUUUGACUGGGGCGGUCGCCUCCUAAACGGUAACGGAGGCGUACAAAGGUUUCCUCUGAACGGUUAGAAAUCGUAUCUAGAGUGUAAAGGCAUAAGGAAGCUUGACUGUGAGACCUACAAGUCGAGCAGGGACGAAAGUCGGUCUUAGUGAUCUGACGGUACUGAGUGGAAAGGCCGUCACUCAACGGAUAAAAGUUACUCUAGGAUAACAGGCUGAUCUCCCCCAAGAGUUCACAUCGACGGGGAGGUUUGGCACCUCGAUGUCGGCUCAUCGCAUCCUGGGGCGGUAGUACGUCCCAAGGGUUGGGCUGUUCGCCCAUGAAAGCGGUACGCGAGCUGGGUUCAGAACGUCGUGAGACAGUUCGGUCCAUAUCCGGUGUAGGCGUUAGAAUAUUGAGAGGAGCCUUCUUUAGUACGAGAGGACCGAGAAGGACAUACCUCUGGUGUACCAGUUAUCGUGCCAACGGUAAACGCUGGGUAGCUAUGUAUGGAGUGGGUAACCGCUGAAAGCAUCUAAGUGGGAAGCCCACCUCAAGAUAAGUACUC
rnacentral:rRNA from 1 species